rnacentral:rRNA from 1 species
GUGCGCCAAGGAACUCAAAUCUGUUAAGUGCGACUCCCGGGGGCCCGGAGACGGUGUCCCGCGGGAGUCGUCACGACACAACAUUUACAUACAAUGACUCUCGGCAACGGAUAUCUCGGCUCUUGCAUCGAUGAAGAACGUAGCGAAAUGCGAUACUUGGUGUGAAUUGCAGAAUCCCGUGAACCAUCGAGUCUUUGAACGCAAGUUGCGCCCGAAGCCAUUAGGCCGAGGGCACGCCUGCCUGGGUGUCACACAUCGUUUCCCCAACGCAAACAUGUAACAAUGUUGCUGCGCGGGGUGUAUGCUGACCUCCCGCGAGCACCCGCCUCGUGGUUGGUUGAAAUCUGGGUUCAUGGCCGACUUCGCCGUGAUAAAAUGGUGGAUGAGCCACGCUCGAGACCAAUCACGUGCGAGCCGGUCAGUUCUGGACCCAUCGACGACCCUUUGCGUGCACGCACGCUCCCAACGAGACCUCAGGUCAGGCGGGGCUACCCGCUGAG